GAUGAAGAACGCAGCGAAAUGCGAUAAGUAAUGUGAAUUGCAGAAUUCAGUGAAUCAUCGAAUCUUUGAACGCACCUUGCGCCCUUUGGACAUUCCGAAGGGCAUGCCUGUUUGAGUAUCAUGAACACCUCAACUCUCACGGCUUGUCCGUGAUGAGCUUGGACUUUGGGGGUCUUGCCGGCCUGUGGUCGGCUCCUCUCAAAUGGAUCAGCUUGCCAGUGUUUGGUGGCAUCACAGGUGUGAUAACUAUCUGCGCUUGUGGUUUUCCAUCAGAUAACCUUCAGUGAUAUGGAGGUUCGCUGGAGCUCACAAAUGUCUCUCCUUAGUGAGGACAGCUCUUUGAACGUUUGAUCUCAAAUCAGGUAGGACUACCCGCUGAACUUAAGCAUAUCAAAAGCGGAGGA
rnacentral:misc_RNA from 1 species